rnacentral:rRNA from 1 species
AGAGUUUGAUCAUGGCUCAGAGCGAACGCUGGCGGCAGGCUUAACACAUGCAAGUCGAACGGGCGUAGCAAUACGUCAGUGGCAGACGGGUGAGUAACACGUGGGAACGUACCCUUUGGUUCGGAACAACACAGGGAAACUUGUGCUAAUACCGGAUAAGCCCUUACGGGGAAAGAUUUAUCGCCGAAGGAUCAGCCCGCGUCUGAUUAGCUUGUUGGUGAGGUAAUGGCUCACCAAGGCGACGAUCAGUAGCUAGUCUGAGAGGAUGAUCAGCCACACUGGGACUGAGACACGGCCCAGACUCCUACGGGAGGCAGCAGUGGGGAAUAUUGGACAAUGGGCGCAAGCCUGAUCCAGCCAUGCCGCGUGAGUGAUGAAGGCCCUAGGGUUGUAAAGCUCUUUUGGCGGGGAAGAUAAUGACGGUACCCGCAGAAUAAGCCCCGGCUAACUUCGUG